rnacentral:lncRNA from 1 species
UAAGUAGAAACUCCAAGAGAGCAUCUUUUGAGACUUUAAUCAUUAUGUCUAUAGCAGCUUACAUAAAACCUCCUAGAUAAACCUUAUUUUGUGGUAUUGGAAAUUGAAUGGCUAGGAAUUGAUGAAUAGAGGGACAAUGAAGUAAAACAUGGCAUAAGCCUUCUACUUGGUAAUCACAAAAACAACAUUGAGAAGCAGUAGGAAUGCUUCUUCGAAUCAGGUUCUGUUUGGUAGGCAAGCUCUCUUGACAGGCUCUCCAAGCGAAAAUCUUUACUGUUUGAAGAAUCUUUAGCCCACAGUGUCCUAAAAAUUUUUUUCUCACCAGCACUCAAGAAUUGCUACGUUAUACAAGUCUUGAAAAACCUAUAUGCAGUGCUAAUAGAAUAGAUUCCAGUUUUUUCAUGUUCCCACAAUCAGAAAUCUGAUUUGCCCAAAAGGCUUGGGUGUAAUUUCAACAUAGCCUCAACAAUUUUUGGAUUGAACAGAGCUCUAAGAUUUGCCAAGUUCCAGCACCUGAAGUUAGGAUCAAUCAAUGAAGACACUGGACAUUCAAGUUGCUGACCAUGAUUUCGUUGUAUAUUAGUCCCCAACUCCUUGCUCAGGUCACUCACUCCAAGGAGCCAUUUAUCAUUCAAGAUAUGUAUUGUGUUGCCAUUUUCCAUAAUCCAUCUUCCUCCUUGUAUCAAUAAAUUUUUAGCCUCCCAAAUUCCACGCCAAGCAUAAGAGGGGUUACCACCUUUGGAUGCUUUCAGAACAUUACCGUCAGGAAAAUAACGGGCCGAAUAUAUUUUAUAAACCAAGCUGUCUCCUGUUGCAAGAGCUUACAAGCUUGUUUGCCAAGUAUGGCCAAAUUGACUAUCUCAAGCUCCUUAAAACCCAUGCCCCCAUAGAUUUCUAUUCACAUAUAAUAUUCCUGGAUUGCCAAUGGAUCUUCCUCUCUUCUUUCCUUUGGCCCUACCAAAAUCUAGCCAUCAUCUUUUCAAUUUCAGUACAUAAUGUGGAGGGGAUUUUGAACCAAUUCAUAGCAUAGGAGGGAAUCGCUAAAGCCACUGAUUUGAGGAGAACUUCUCUUCUUCCUUGGGAGAACAUACUACUCUUCCAUCCUUGUAAUUUCAGCCAAACUUUGUGUUUUAUUUCAGAGAAGGCUCAAAUUUUGAAUCGACCAACCAUAGGUGGUAAUCCAAGAUACUUUUCAUAUUGAUGUACUUGAGGAGCAUUCCAUAGAGCAAUAACUGCUUGCUGCUUGUCUGGCCUUACAUUUGCACUAAAUACCAUUGAGGUUUUUUUCCCUAUUCAAUUGUUGAAACGAGGUAUCUUCAUAACUACUUAGGAGAGCUUGUAGGCGAGAAGUGGUUCCUUUAUUAGCUUCACAUAAAAUCAAGCUAUCAUCCACAGAGAGAAGAUGAUUUAAUCUUGGAGCUCCUCUGUACACUGAAUCCCAGCCACAUUUUUAUUCCUUUCCGCCACAUUCAAUAGACUAAUCAAUCCUUCAGUACAUAAAAGGAAUAAAUAAGGUGAAAUAGGAUCUCCUUACCUCAAACCUCCAGUGGGGAUAAUGCUACCAGUGGAGAGCUAUUGAUAAGAAUAGAAAAAAUGGGUAGUAACACGUUGCAUCACAGUUGAAUAAUCUUUUCACAGAAGCCCAAUUUAUGCAUAACUACUUCAAAGAAGGACCACUUAACUAUAUCAAAUGCUUUGUUCAUGUCAAGCUUAAGAGACAUGUAGCCUUCUUACCCUUCCUCUUUCUUUGCAAGAAAUGGAGCACUUUGUAGGCCACUAGCACAUUGUCUGUAAUGAGCCUCCCUUUAAUGAAAGCAGACUGGGUUUCCGAAAUCACCAUAGGUAAUACUACUUUUAUUCUGUAAGCCACAACUUUUGUAACCAAUAUAUACAAGACGUUAUAAAAGCUUAUAGGUCUGAAAUCCUUAACCCUUUGGGGAUUCUCUGUCUUAGGGAUAAGUGUAAUAAAAGUAUUUACGUUUUGGGGAAUCUCACAAGAAUUUAAAACAUGUAAUAAAGCAUCUAUAACAGAGAAACCAAUAUGAGGCCAAAACUUUCGGAAAAAAAGAGGAGGCAUACCAUCGGGUCCAGGAGCAAUAGUAGAGUGCAUUUCCUUCAAGGCCUGGGAGACAUCGGUUGCUAUAAAAGGUUGUAUCAAUUCAUUGUUCAUAUCAGGGGUUAAUUUACAUUCCAUGUUAUCCAGGACAGCAGCUUGAUUUCUUGAGCCUGUAGAGGAGAAUAGAUUAGAAAAAUAGUUAAUGAUUAAAUUGUUACACACCUCUCCUUUAGUAAUCAAAUUUAUUUUUCUUCUUUGGGAAGCUUUAGCAUGGAAAUAACGUGUAUUCUGGUCUCCUUCUUCCAGCCAGGCAGCUCUUGACCUUUGUUUCCACAUGAGUUCUUUUCUAUUUAUCCAGGUUUGCAAUUCUUCGCUGUCUUUCAAAGCUCAUCAAAAUCUACAGUUGUAGGAUCUUGUUUUUAGAUUUGAACGAGCUUUGAUCUGGCUUCGUUAAGCUUCACUUGCACCCUACCGAAUUUGGAUUUAUUCCAAGAUUGAAGUUGAUUUCUACAGAAGCUUAUAUUCCUUAUGAUGCUAUCCAGGCUCUUGGAACUAGUAUCGGUCCAGUUAUCCAACACAAUAUCAAAGCAUACAUUUUCACCGAGCCACAUUGAUUCAAAGGGGAAUGGUUUAGGUCCUUUAAGUGUUUGAUAUGCACCAUCAAGCGAGCUUCAUAGAAUGAGAUUAUCUGAAUAUACGGUUGAGCCAUGAGUGACCAAAGCUUGUAUAAAAAGCCGAAACUAGCAAUCAUUUGCAGUGAAGCUAGCGAGCCUUUCAAAAAUUUGAGUAGAGUCAUGUCUUCCAUUAGACCAUGUGUAAUGGAGGCCUGUAAAUAGAGGUCUUUUAGCUCACAAUCGAAGAACGUCUGCUAAAAAUUAUCUAGUUGUUGUCUAAGUCUAUCUCAACCUUCCCAUUUUUUGUCAUUUGAUAAAAUUUCAUUGAUGUCACCAAAGGCAAGCCAUGCUUCUGUAGAGUCCCUUUUCAGCCUCUUCAAUAAAUUCCAGGUUCCCAUGUGUUCAUUUGUGUCUGGAUGGCCAUAGAUUCCAAUUUAAGAACCAGCCAUAUAGGGACGAAUCAAUUUUGACAUCAAUGUGAUUGUUAGAGUAGCUGAGAACAGAUAAAUGGACUUCAGAUUUUUAAAGGAGUGCAAUUCCACCAUUACGUACCAUAACCUCGACAUUAAAACAACCAUAAAACUUCAAUUUAACUCGAUAUAGUUCCAUAUUCGUAGCAUUAAGUUUUGUCUCUUGCGAGAACAAAACAUCGGGAUCUUUCUUUCUGAUAAGAUCAGAAAGAGUACGAAUGUCACGAGGGAUUCCAAGCCCUCGUGCAUUCCAGCUUAGGAUUUGCGUGGGGAUUGGUGGGGCUAAGUUUUAGCCACCACCGAAAUCUGAGAAUUGGAGUCAUUAUUCCAUUCAUGGGAUUUUCCUUUGCCCCUCAAUCUUUUAGACCGUUCACCAUUUUCAGGGUAGAUAUCCGGAGACCUCUUUAGACUUCUAGUGGAGUAGGGGUAAUAGAGCUGAGUGCCUGGUUCUUAUUUACUUUUUCCACCGUCGAGUGAGGUUGGCGUCUUUCUCUUUAAUUGAAUCCCCGCCAGAUUUGGGUAAGUCAGCACCUGUUUGAUCAGCAAUUAUUGCAUCAGUCUGUGGCAGGAGUUGCUCUAGAUUUCUCGCCUUCAUUAACUUCACAGUGUCUCCCUUAAAAUUAUUUUCCCGUAAUUGCUCUGAAUUUGUCGUCUUCGUCAACUUCUCAAUAUUUCCAUUAAAAUUAUUUUCCUAUGAUUGCUCCUGAAUUUCCGCUACGUUACAGUCGGUUUCCAUUGCUGCAUCUUGAUUGCCAUGAUUCUUGUCAUCGAAGCUAGCUUCUGCAUGGUUCAUCGGAAGGUUAGGGUCCAGAGACUCCAUUUGUCGAUCAUGAAUAGGGCCACCGUAAUCUCCAAAAUUGUCAGCACAUAUCCAAGGUCCGCAGGAGUAAUCAAAUGUUGUAUAUGCCUCCAUAGAAUUUUACCACUGAGAGCACUCCUUCUGACUGUGUCCAAGCGUGCCACAGAGGUAGCAGAGGUUUGGCAGUCGCUCAUAGGCAAAGCGGACCCAAAAAGGUUUGUAAGAUCCCAAACAAAUCCUCUUACCGCGUAAGAGAGGCUUGGAAACAUCAAAGCAUACCCCAACACGCAGGAAUUCACCCUUUGUAAUCUCAUUUUUAUCUAUAUGAACUUCAUUAACUUUACCAAGUUGCCUUCCAAUGGAAUCCCCCAUCUUCCAAUUGCGAACCAUGACAGGGAGAUCAUAAAUUCUUACCCAGAAAUUUGCCUCAGAGAAAGAAAUGUGGUGGAUUUACUCAAGGCCAUCAACGUCUUUGGUUAGAACCAAAUGCUUGUCGAAAAUCCACGGACCCUCACGCUUUACCUGUUCCUUAUCCUUAUUGUCGUCAAAUUCCACUAGGAAUAGAUUAGGAGAGAUGUCACGUAUACUCAAGGCCUUGUUUGGAUGCCAUAAACGCAUCAUGGCAUUCUUGAAAGCCUCUUUGUUGAAAUGCUUAAUGGAUAAAAGUUUGAAUAACGAACAUUUAUCACUCCGAUGGGCAAUCAGCACAUCUUCUUCUUCCAUUACUAGUGCUUCUUCCUUCAGUUCUGUGAGAGACAGUUUUUCACACAUUUUUGCAAUAUCCGAUUCCAUAAGGAUAGUGCUUGAAGCUAUUGAGAUGAUUCCUACACCGAUGCAGGGAGAAAGACCUCUACUCAGGAAGAACCUCGAGAGAAAAAUCGUAGGCUACUUAUCUAGAAUCAACAGUUAACAUAAAUAGAUAACAUAAUGAUAAGAAUUUAACAACAGGUGCUGAUUUUCAUCCUCUUCUCCCGAAUUCGGAUAUUUGUUAAUGAAUUUGGGAUGAUUUUAGUCAGAGUUUUGAGAAAUCCCUAAAAUCGCUUUAGCUUCCUUGUUAAUUGGACUUAUCAUAUGAUAUUUCACACUUUCCAUUUUCACUUUCCUAUUAUUGCCUUCCCCCACUACCAAAAAACAUAUCUUCAAACCGUGAGUACGAUCUUAGACGACAACAAAGAAGCGGGGCAACCUCCAGCAACUUGUUCGGCAUGAACUACUUCACCGUCCGUCCGCUAUUUUUUGGCACUUGCUCAACCGCGUUCCAACACAGAUUUUCACCAUACAGGCCUUGUACUCCAGUUUGAUGUUGUUGGGAAAAUGACCUCCCAAAGAUUGCCCAAGAAAUUAAGUUUGACAAUGUGGAAAUUUCCAAACCACUUCAAGAACAAGAAAAUGGGGAAGAAAUGAUUUUCAAUAUAUAUUGGAAGAACAAUGGAUUGGAUUACUUGAACAAGCCUCAAGUUAAUCCCCAAGAAAAGAAAAUAGCUUUGAAUUUAUACCCAAGAAAAACAACCUCUUACUUGUUAAAUUCAAUCCAAGCUCUCUCACUUUUCUCUCCAAAAAUCCGGUUGUACAAUUAAGGGGAAAAACCAGCUAUUUAAAUAGCGGAG